CUGAACUGUCAACAUGAGUUGUUGCUGGUCCUCAGUGGGGACAUGUGCACGCUCUGUUAACACAUCCACUCACACCUGUGCACCCUCUGUAGUUCUUAUGGUGUGGGGACCCCGUCCCCCUGCCAUGGUUCUACGUAUUUACAUACACACUGUGACAAAGUCUUAUGGAAUGUACACCGCGUUUAACGCAAUACAAUA
rnacentral:misc_RNA from 1 species